rnacentral:rRNA from 1 species
CCUACGGGUGGCAGCAGUGAGGAAUAUUGGUCAAUGGCCGGAAGCCUGAACCAGCCAAGCCGCGUGAGGGAGGAAGGCCCAGCGCGUCGUAAACCUCUUUUGCCAGGGGACAAAGUGCCGGACUCGUCCGCUCCUGUGUGUACCUGACGAAAAAGCAUCGGCUAACUCCGUGCCAGCAGCCGCGGUAAUACGGAGGAUGCGAGCGUUAUCCGGAUUUAUUGGGUUUAAAGGGUGCGCAGGCGGUCAGUUAAGCCGGCGGUAAAAUCCCGGGGCUCAACCCCGCCCAGCCGUUGAGACUGGGGGUCUUGAGUGCGGGGGAGGUAGGCGGAAUGCGCGGUGUAGCGGUGAAAUGCAUAGAUAUCGCGCAGAACUCCGAUUGCGAAGGCAGCGUGCCG